rnacentral:rRNA from 1 species
ACACUCGACACCUACGAGAGGCAGCAGUGGGGAAUAUUGCACAAUGGGGGAAACCCUGAUGCAGCGACGCCGCGUGGAGGAAGAAGGUCUUCGGAUUGUAAACUCCUGUUGUUGGGGAAAAAGAGGAUGGUACCCAACAAGGAAGUGACGGCUAACUACGUGCCAGUAGCGCGGUAAUCUGAGCGGGCUGGCAAGGC